CUUGACCCCUGAGCCACCAGGGAAGCCUGAUAGGCAGAAUAACAACCCACUAAAAGUCCACACCUGUGAAUGUAUUUCCUUUAUAUGUCAAAAGCAAGUUUGCAGGUAUGAUUAAAGGUAAGGACCUUCAGAUGAGAGAGUAGCCUAGAUCAUCCAUGUGGAGCCAGUCCAAUCAAUGACUCCUUCAAAGUAGAGCAACUUUCCCAGCUUUGGUUGGAGAGAAAGAUUCCAGUGUAUUGAUUCAUUUUGGUGGGGCUCAUCUUGCUGAAGACCACAGAGAAAAGGUACAGCCUCCGAGUGCACGGGAACCCAAAGGAACAUUGACUAGCAGCUGAAGGCGGAUUUAGAAUUUCAGGGAUGGGUUUUGUUCAUUUAUUUGGAAGAUGGGAGAGCCAUGAAUAAAG